UGCGGAUAAACGAACCUCGUCUACGAAGUUACAACAACACUGGUUACGAUGGCAAUUUCGAUGACAUUCGACAUGAACACAACAUCAAUACACUACGUGAUGAUUAUGGAGCACAUGGACCGGAAGUGAAAAGAAAAGACGAAGAACAUGGUACAAACUGGAAAAAAGUUGCUUUGAUUUCGACCACCUUACUUGUUAUUCUGGUGAUAGCGGGUGCUGCUGUGGGAAUAUUCUAUGCUCUUAGAAAUACUUCAGACAGUGGCAGUACGUCACCUAUCGAGAGACCAGAAGUGUCAACCUCAUCAAAUUCCGCGUCAACGACACGUACAUUACCCUCGCCAACUUCAACAAGAAGGACAACAUCUUCAACUACACCUACUUCGGCAACGCUUAGAUCUUCCUCAAUAUCAGUAAGCCAUUCCCCGACAACUUCAGAAACAACUGAAACAACAAAAUCAACAUCAAGCAGAACAUCCUUCUCAACAUUGAGUCCUCCGCCCGAAACAUCGAUACAAACAAGUUCAACAACUUCAAGUUCAACAUCGACACCCAA